rnacentral:lncRNA from 1 species
AUGGUCCUGUCCCACGCUGCAGAAUACACGGCUAACACAGACAGAGACCAGACCACAGAGACAGGGCCACAGGCAGAGACAGCGCCACAGGCAGAGACAGGGCCACAGGCAGAGACAGGGCCACAGAGACAAAGCUACAGAGACAGGGCUACAGACAGAGAGACAGUGCCACAGGCAGAGACAAGGCCACAGAGACGGGGCCACAGACAGAGACAGGGCCACAGGCAGAGACAAGGCCACAGAGACGGGGCCACAGACAGAGACAGGGCCACAGGCAGAGACAGGGCCACAGACAGAGACAGGGCCGCAGGCAGAGACAGGGCCACAGGCAGAGACAGGGCCGCAGGCAGAGACAGGGCCACAGGCAGAGACAGGGCCACAGACAGAGACCAGACCACAGAGACAGGGCCACAGGCAGAGACAGGGCCGCAGACAGAGACAGCACCACAGGCAGAGACAGGGCCACAGGCAGAGACAGGGCCACAGGCAGAGACAGGGCCACAGGCAGAGACAGGGCCACAGGCAGACACAAGGCCACAUGCAGAGAUGGGGCCACAGAGACAAAGCUACAGAGACAGGGCUACAGACAGGCAGAGACAAGGCCACAGGCAGAGACAGGGCCACAGGCAGAGACAAGGCCACAGGAAGAGACAAGGCCACAGGCAGAGACAGGGCCACAGGCAGACACAAGGCCACAUGCAGAGACGGGGCCACAGAGACAAAGCUACAGAGACAGGGCUACAGACAGAGAGACAGUGCCACAGGCAGAGACAAGGCCACAGUGACAAGGCCACAGACAGAGACAAAACUACAGAGACAGUGCCACAGGCAGAGAUAAGGCCACAGAGAUGGGGCCACAGACAGAGACAAGGCCACAGAGAUGGGACCACAGACAGAGACAAGGCCACAGUGACAAGGCCACAGACAGAGACAAAACUACAGAGACAGGGCCACAGGCAGAGACAAAGCUACAGAGACAGGCCUACAGACAGAGACAAGGCCACAAACAGAGCCAGGGCUGCAGGCAGAGCCAAGGCACAGGCAGAGGAGCAGGGAAGCAGAUGGUCCUCCUGGAGCAUGGGGGGCACUCUGAAGGCAUGUUCUUGGUGGGGUGAAGCUGGACCUCAGGGGCAAGCAGCACACAUGGGUCAGAGAAUGGGGAGAACUUUCAAGACAGAGUCAACAAAAGGCACAAAGAGACAGAGCCCGGGGUGUGUGAAGGGUGCUGGGGACUCCCUGUGCUUGGGACUGGCUGAAACGUCCUGUGGGAGGGGGUGGAGUGGCCUGCCGUGGCCUGAGGUGUCCAGCUCCGUCUCGGGUGGCACGGCUCUGGGGGCACCUGCAGGACCAGCAGUGGAGCUAACUGUGCACCCGGGGUGCUUGCCGUGGCUGACGGGGUAG